CCCCCUAGAGUCAUUGCAGGUGUGGCUGCUGUGUCACAUAUGCGUCAGUAGGUGGCCAAGAAGAGAGAAGCUAUGUCUAUGUUCAGCAUUCUGACCUACGAACAUCUGAAUGAUUAGUAAGUAGUCUAACAGU